GUCGUACGCUUCUUUUUCCACCGGAGCUUGCUCCACCGGAAAAAGAAGAGUGGCGAACGGGUGAGUAACACGUGGGUAACCUGCCCAUCAGAAGGGGAUAACACUUGGAAACAGGUGCUAAUACCGUAUAACAAUCGAAACCGCAUGGUUUUGAUUUGAAAGGCGCUUUCGGGUGUCGCUGAUGGAUGGACCCGCGGUGCAUUAGCUAGUUGGUGAGGUAACGGCUCACCAAGGCCACGAUGCAUAGCCGACCUGAGAGGGUGAUCGGCCACAUUGGGACUGAGACACGGCCCAAACUCCUACGGGAGGCAGCAGUAGGGAAUCUUCGGCAAUGGACGAAAGUCUGACCGAGCAACGCCGCGUGAGUGAAGAAGGUUUUCGGAUCGUAAAACUCUGUUGUUAGAGAAGAACAAGGAUGAGAGUAACUGUUCAUCCCUUGACGGUAUCUAACCAGAAAGCCACGGCUAACUACGUGCCAGCAGCCGCGGUAAUACGUAGGUGGCAAGCGUUGUCCGGAUUUAUUGGGCGUAAAGCGAGCGCAGGCGGUUUCUUAAGUCUGAUGUGAAAGCCCCCGGCUCAACCGGGGAGGGUCAUUGGAAACUGGGAGACUUGAGUGCAGAAGAGGAGAGUGGAAUUCCAUGUGUAGCGGUGAAAUGCGUAGAUAUAUGGAGGAACACCAGUGGCGAAGGCGGCUCUCUGGUCUGUAACUGACGCUGAGGCUCGAAAGCGUGGGGAGCAAACAGGAUUAGAUACCCUGGUAGUCCACGCCGUAAACGAUGAGUGCUAAGUGUUGGAGGGUUUCCGCCCUUCAGUGCUGCAGCUAACGCAUUAAGCACUCCGCCUGGGGAGUACGACC
rnacentral:rRNA from 1 species